rnacentral:rRNA from 1 species
CGAGCAGUGGGGAAUAUUGCACAAUGGGCGCAAGCCUGAUGCAGCCAUGCCGCGUGUAUGAAGAAGGCCUUCGGGUUGUAAAGUACUUUCAGCAGUGAGGAAGGUGGGUAUGUUAAUAGCAUAUUCAUUUGACGUUAGCUGCAGAAGAAGCACCGGCUAACUCCGUGCCAGCAGCCGCGGUAAUACGGAGGGUGCGAGCGUUAAUCGGAAUUACUGGGCGUAAAAGCGCAUGCAGGUGGUUUGUUAAGUCAGAUGUGAAAAGCCCGGGGCUCAACCUCGGAAUUGCAUUUGAAACUGGCAAACUAGAGUACUGUAGAGGGGGUAGAAUUUCAGGUGUAGCGGUGAAAUGCGUAGAGAUCUGAAGGAAUACCGGUGGCGAAGGCGGCCCCCUGGACAGAUACUGACACUCAGAUGCGAAAGCGUGGGGAGCAAACAGGAUUAGAUACCCUGGUAG